GAUGAACGCUAGCUACAGGCUUAACACAUGCAAGUCGAGGGGAAACGAUAUUGGAAGCUUGCUUCCGAUAGGCGUCGACCGGCGCACGGGUGAGUAACGCGUAUCCAACCUGCCCAUCACUUGGGGAUAACCUUGCGAAAGUAAGACUAAUACCCAAUGAUAUCUCAAGAAGACAUCUGAAUGAGAUUAAAGAUUUAUCGGUGAUGGAUGGGGAUGCGUCUGAUUAGCUUGUUGGCGGGGUAACGGCCCACCAAGGCGACGAUCAGUAGGGGUUCUGAGAGGAAGGUCCCCCACAUUGGAACUGAGACACGGUCCAAACUCCUACGGGAGGCAGCAGUGAGGAAUAUUGGUCAAUGGGCGAGAGCCUGAACCAGCCAAGUAGCGUGCAGGAUGACGGCCCUAUGGGUUGUAAACUGCUUUUAUAAGGGAAUAAAGUGAGCCUCGUGAGGCUUUUUGCAUGUACCUUGUGAAUAAGGACCGGCUAAUUCCGUGCCAGCCGCCGCAGUAA
rnacentral:rRNA from 1 species